GAUGAACGCUGGCGGCGUGCCUAAUACAUGCAAGUCGAGCGAACAGAUGAGGAGCUUGCUCCUCUGACGUUAGCGGCGGACGGGUGAGUAACACGUGGAUAACCUACCUAUAAGACUGGGAUAACUUCGGGAAACCGGAGCUAAUACCGGAUAAUAUAUUGAACCGCAUGGUUCAAUAGUGAAAGACGGUUUUGCUGUCACUUAUAGAUGGAUCCGCGCCGCAUUAGCUAGUUGGUAAGGUAACGGCUUACCAAGGCAACGAUGCGUAGCCGACCUGAGAGGGUGAUCGGCCACACUGGAACUGAGACACGGUCCAGACUCCUACGGGAGGCAGCAGUAGGGAAUCUUCCGCAAUGGGCGAAAGCCUGACGGAGCAACGCCGCGUGAGUGAUGAAGGUCUUCGGAUCGUAAAACUCUGUUAUUAAGGAAGAACAAAUGUGUAAGUAACUAUGCACGUCUUGACGGUACCUAAUCAGAAAGCCACGGCUAACUACGUG
rnacentral:rRNA from 1 species